rnacentral:tRNA from 1 species
GUCUUGAGGUGUUACAUGCUAGAUUGCAAAUCUAGAGUAGCGCAUUAGGGUGCGCCAGGACU